AUGGCUGCCAAAUCGCCAGUCUUCUCCCACCCUAAUUACCCCACGUUGCUAAUUAGGCUCCUGGCAUGUUCUCUGGAAGCCUUCUCCAAACUUAAUGACUUUAAGAUCCUAAUUAGGGUCCUCCUUCCGCCUUAUUCCCUUCACUUCCGGUUUUCCCAUCACUUCCGGUCCCCCACACUUCGGAUCCCGUCCGUUUCCUUCACCCGAACGCCUCCGAGUGUUCCGCCUUAUUCCCUUCACUUCCGGUUUUCCCAUCACUUCCGGUCCCCCACACUUCGGAUCCCGUCCGUUUCCUUCACCCGAACGCCUCCGAGUGUCCCCGAACACCUCCGAGCGCAUCCCGAGCGUUUCCGAACCCGACCCGAGCGUUUCCGAGCGCCUCCCGAACGAGAGCCGAACUCCUCCGAGUGCUCCCCGAACGACAGCCGAACUCGACCCGAACUCUUCCGAGCGGCCCCGGACGAGACCCGAACGCCUCCGAUUGCAGCCCGAGCGCCUCCCGAACCGACCCGAACUCGACCCGAGCGCUCCCCGAUCGCACUCCGAAUGCCUCCGAAUGCGAUCCGAAGGCACCCCGAGCGCUUCCGAGUGGCCCCGACUGCCCCUCCGAGCCGCCCCGAAGGCGAGCCGAACUGGACCCGAACGCUUCCGAGCGCUCCCCAACCGUCCCCCGAACACCUCCGAGCGCCACCGGAAGGGACCCGAACGCCUCCGAUUCGAACCCGAGCGCUUCCCGAGCGCACCCCGAACUCGACCCGAACUCCCUCCGAUUGCUCCCGAACUCGACCCGAGUGCGGCCCGAACUCAAGCCGAACAGCCCGGAACUCGGAGCUGAACGCAGCCCGAGUCCCCCCGAACUCGACCGGAAGUCGCCCCGAGUCCUUCCGGAGUUCCCGGAAGUCGACCCGAGUGAAGCCCGAGCCCCCCCCCAAACCCGACCCCAGUGCGUCACGAACACCCCGGAACUCGGAGCCGAACGCCCCGGAAGUCGAUCCGAACGGAGCCCGAAUCUGCCCGAACACGACCGGAAGUCUCCCCGAACUCAACCCGAGUGCGUCACGAACACCCCGGAACUGCACCCGAACUCGACCCGAGUCCCCCCGAACUCGACCCGAACGCCCCCGAUCUCGACCGGAAGUCGCCUCCAACACCCCGGAACUCGACCCGAACGCUGCCCGAGCCGCUCCGAACUCUCCCGGAAGUCGCUCCGAACGCCCCCGAACUCGACCGGAAGUCGCUCCCAACACCUCCCGAGUCCUUCCGAACUCGAGCCGAACAACCCGGAACCGGACCUGA
rnacentral:lncRNA from 1 species